GGCGGCGUGCUUACACAUGCAAGUCGAACGAUGAAGCCCAGCUUGCUGGGUGGAUUAGUGGCGAACGGGUGAGUAACACGUGAGUAACCUGCCCCCGACUCUGGGAUAAGCCCGGGAAACUGGGUCUAAUACCGGAUAUGACCAUGGAACGCAUGUUUUGUGGUGGAAAGAUUUAUCGGUGGGGGAUGGACUCGCGGCCUAUCAGCUUGUUGGUGAGGUAAUGGCUCACCAAGGCGACGACGGGUAGCCGGCCUGAGAGGGUGACCGGCCACACUGGGACUGAGACACGGCCCAGACUCCUACGGGAGGCAGCAGUGGGGAAUAUUGCACAAUGGGCGAAAGCCUGAUGCAGCGACGCCGCGUGAGGGAUGACGGCCUUCGGGUUGUAAACCUCUUUCAGUAGGGAAGAAGCGAAAGUGACGGUACCUGCAGAAGAAGCGCCGGCUAACUACGUGCCAGCAGCCGCGGUAAUACGUAGGGCGCAAGCGUUAUCCGGAUUUAUUGGGCGUAAAGAGCUCGUAGGCGGUUUGUCGCGUCUGCCGUGUAAAGUCCUAGGCUCACGCUCGUGAUCUGCCGGUGGGUACGGGCCAGACUUGAAUGAUGUAGGGG
rnacentral:rRNA from 1 species